CGAGGAGGAGGAAAUACUACCAAAGAAAGGCCUUGCCGAGGAGACGGCGGAGGACAGAGCUGCGCAUUCUCUUCUCUUCCAAAGCCCUGCCUCGGUGUUCCAUGCCCUUGUGCACUUCAUCCACACAUCAAUGUGGGCGGCAACUGACUCAGCUGGGCUUUGCAGGCCCUCAGCGACGUGGUUUUUGCACGCUCACAGUAGUGUGGCGGCAACGAUCACCGACUUCACUACGAGGCCGUCGCUACUCGAAGGGUAAUGUUGCUGGUGCAGCAUCAGCGUCCUCGAAGCGAAACCUUCUGUCACCAUUCGGACAUGUUCUUCAGGGCUCAUCACGUGGCCCACAAGGCCUUUUUGUGGAGCCGCUAGAGGCGUGGCUUUCCGUGCUCGCGGACUCCGUUCCCUUUUGCAAAGACUGUCUCGUGAUUUGCCCUUCCACCGCAUCAGACGUGCAGGUUCGCUGCGUGUGGAACCGCUGUCGGCAGCAUAUCCCCGCUGCCCACGUCGUCGCCCUGACGCCGCGCAAGUACAAGGAAGCCCAGACAACCGCCGCAGAUGCUGCCCAAACUCUGCUGUCGCUGCCGAACGGCACCUCCACAGGUGACACGGCUGGUGCAGAAGCACCGAUGCCGCUGCCGGCCGCGUCGUUGGUGCCGCGCGGCGGCGGUGGGGGUCAUCUUACGAGUGCUUCUACAGCUAGGCUACCUUCCCUGUACUCGCCGCUCGAGCAUGUUUCCCCGGGCUCUCUGGACCUCAUUGUGCUACCCAGUAACGUGUUUGCCCAUGAGAUGCUCUUCGACGCACCGUGGCACUUAUCCCUCGCACACCGCGCUCUGCGCCCGCACGGAGUCGUUGCGAUCCUUGGCCACGUCGCGGAGGCGGGGGUCGGUGCGCCGGAGUGGGCGGCGACGGACGCGAGGGAUUACAUCGAGAGUACACACCUGGAUGCGCGAGAAACGCUGCGGCUGGCUGCCAGCGACGCUGCCAGAGCGCCGGGCACGGAUGACGAGCACGUGCGCCAUCUGCGUCGCGCCGUGGAGGUACACGAGACACUGCGCUCCGGCCACGCCGACGUCUUUUUCCCCUUUCCUAGCGUGCGCCGUCGCUGGUUCACAUCCGAGUACGCCCUCCAACCCGCUCAGCUGGCAGCGCACUACCGCGCAACCCCGCUGUACCAAGUGCUCUAUGGCCCCACGGGAUCCUUGUGGUGGAACAAGAUGCGGUUCAGAGCAGAUGUGCUACAGCGGCAGCGGACGGCUGCUUCGGCGGUGAGGGGCGAUGAGGAGAGCUUUUUCGUAGAUAUUACAGGAACCUCGCUGGAUGGAACUGCCAGCUUGGGUCAGGGUACCGAAAGUCAUCUGGAGGACCUUGUUGCAGCGUGGUCGCCUCUCGGCGUGCGCCGCCGUCGCGGUGUGAACGAUCCGCUAGACAUGCUGCAGAUCAUUCUCGACGCCCACACAGCCACAGUCAACGCCUCUGCUGCAAAGCCGCCGCUGCAGGUGCAACUGCACCACUUUGUGGUGACUUGCAGUGCGCGGAGCAUGAAUGCAACACCGCUGUCGGAGGGGCGAACAGAGUCGAACAGGAAUCUACUUGCAGUGCUUGGGAGAGGGCAGCGUCUUUCCCUCCACGCCAGCGAAAGAUCGAGGGCGUCUGAUGUGCGACGGGUGAGCCUUCCACGAUUUGCGGGACAGCGAUGCGGCACAUGAGCGAGCACGUACAUGUGUUUCUCGCGGUCCCGAGGGGAGGGGGGAGUGUUGGCACACAGCAAAUGCGGGAUGCUACCACCUCACGCGUCUGUCGCACUCGCAUAGAUGACGCGCCGCCGCUGCUGCUGAAUGACCUCCUUCCAGACAAGCUGUGUAUGCUCUUCUCAUCUUUUUCAUGGCGGGCGAGGAGGGGGCGAAGACGGAAAACAAAAAUAUUAAAGAGGCUGUGCGCCCACGCGCAACAGAAAUCACCACUUGGAGAAGAGGGUGCGGAUGGAAUAAUUGUGGCGGUGCACUUGGCUUGCCGUUGCUCUCUGUUUGGCGGAUCGCCUCUCUCCUUUUCCAAUACCUUUACAUCAUCCUUCCGCUCUGCGGCAGAAUCGUGACGCCCCCGCGCGCGCUCUCGAUGCAUCAGUUGCAUUAGUGUGGCAUCGCGUCUCUCGUAUACGAGUGACUGCCACCCAACACUGUUUGUACAGACUUGUGUUCAAUUUCUCCUUCGCCGUCUUCCUGCGACUCCACAUACAUUCAUCACUUUCUCCUUCCACCCCUCUUCUUUGUGUUUGUGCGCCGCUGCUGCAG
rnacentral:misc_RNA from 1 species